rnacentral:lncRNA from 1 species
UUAUAAUACAGUGGAAUAGCUUAACAACUGCUUAUGUGCUUCCCAUGAUAUGUUCUCUAUAUUAUCAAAUGCAGACAUAAUUUAAGAAGACUAGCCUUCCGUUAAAGAUUUCAUCAGGUGAAGACAUCAGUCUUGCCUUCCUGCUCGCUGCAGUGCACUGUAAAUGGUCUCACAGCACAUCCACAGCUAGUUCACUGGACAAAGGUAUGCAGAACAAAACUUCCUUAAAUUCUCAAGAGACCUGUUCCACAAAACUGUGAGCAGAGUUUUGCUAUCUACAGAUUCACUAUCCUCAUCUCUCAUGAACUUUGAGUUCCAACUAGGAUAUUUUGGACCUAAGGAAUAAUGUAUCCUUUUAUUUCUCCAGGAAGCAACCAUCUAAUACAACGGAAGUUACAUAAUCGAGACCUCACUGUGAGCUUUGAAACUAUUUUUAAUCACCAGAACCUACUUCUCAUCAUAAAAGGAUAUCUCCAGCUCCAUAAUUUGAGAGUGAAAUCUUAA